CAGCAGCGCGGUAAUACAGAGGGUGCGAGCGUUAAUCGGAUUUACUGGGCGUAAAGCGUGCGUAGGCGGCUAAUUGAGUCGGAUGUGAAAUCCCCGAGCUUAACUUGGGAAUUGCAUUCGAUACUGGUUAGCUAGAGUGUGGGAGAGGAUGGUAGAAUUCCAGGUGUAGCGGUGAAAUGCGUAGAGAUCUGGAGGAAUACCGAUGGCGAAGGCAGCCAUCUGGCCUAACACUGACGCUGAGGUACGAAAGCAUGGGGAGCAAACAGGAUUAGAUACCCCCGUAGUCCCUGUCUCUUAUACA
rnacentral:rRNA from 1 species